GGAGGAAUAGCUCAGGGCAUCUCCAGAGGUCAUGGAGAGGCCAAUGUCAAGGAGAAUUUGGGGAUGCUGGCCUCACCCUUUCACUUCUUGAGAGCUCUCCUUCAUCUAUCAAGACUUUGCCCUGCAUUUUCUACAUAUACUGUCUCUAGAGGAGCAGAGUCAGCCAGGGCAUGCGGUGGCUGUCUCCUUGGCAGUGUCACCCCUUCUGAUGGAAGUCCCACUGCUCUGUCUCUGGGUCUUUCCAACUGCAGACCUGGAUGUAAGACUCCUUGCACUUUGUUUUCACACAUAGGAGGCUUAAAGCCUCACAUCUAGGGCUAUUUCCUAAAUGACAGGGACAGAAUUCAGAGUCACAUAAGUACAUAAAAUAUUUAUGAUGAACCUGAGAAGUUAGUUUAAUCAGACGCAUCUCUUUCCUCUUGUGUAUUAAUUAAUCCUGAUAAAUCCCCCUACCUCUUUUUUCUCCUUCUUGCUACAUUUAAAUUGCUCAGAAAAGGCAUGUUUGUGGAAGACAAGCUGAAGGGGGUGUUUCGGGAUCCUCUUAAAUGAACAAGCCCUAAGUAUUUCAGAUGGAGUCGUGAGUAUAGUAGAUCCAUCAUCAGAGAAUAGUUACGCUGACUUCAUGAGAAACACCCAUUUUUAUGUGCUUGAAAACUCCCCUGAACUCACUCUGGUCCCUGAGACCUUCUCUGCUAUCACAGAAGACCAGCAAGAUGGGUCGGGUUUGAAUCUAUCAAAAUGAAACCCUAAGCUCUACGUACCAUCAGUAUCUACUGAGUCAUAACCAAAUUGUCUGGCUAUUUUGUUCUAGAGGAUGAGGAGAGAAUGGGAGAGGUGUCAGGAAUUAUGAUUCCCUUUCAUAGCUCUGGCAACUGCAAUAAAUCUUCCUCUAUAGUUAGACAAUGGGUUUUACCCUGAAGAUGAAGAAAACCAACACCAACCCAAUCUAUCCACCACUAAGAUGAGCUGCUACAGGUGAAUUUUAAAGAGCCUCACUGUAUUGUCUUCUCAUUUAGAUUCAUUAAAUUUCCCAUAAUUCCCAGAGUAGCUUUUGAUUUUGUUUCCUUACUCUGGUGACUUAAGUCUUGUUCAGAAUGAAGCAUUAUUUCUGACAUUCAUUUCAAGGAAAAAAAAGAUAAUCUGAUUCAGGAGACAAUGUCUGAGUCUGUUUGGGCUGCUGUAACAAAAUACCACAGCCUGUGUGGCUUAUAAACAAGAGAAGUUUGUUUCUCACAGUUCUCGUGGCUGGGGAGUCCAAGAUGAAUGCACCGGGGAGGUCGCCCUUGGUGAGGGCCUUCUUCUGGUUCAUAGCUGGCCCCUCCUUCCUGUGUCCUCAGGUGGACAAAGGGGCAAGGAAUCUCUCCAGAAGUUCUCUCUCUCUCUCUCUCUCUCUCUUUUUUUUUUUUUUUUUGCCUUUUCUAGGGCUGCUCCUGAGGCAUAUCGAGGUUGACAGGCUAGGGGUCUAAUUGAAGCUAUAGCUGCCGGCCUUCACCACAGCCACAGCAAUGCCAGAUCUGAGCUGUGUCUGUAACCUACACCACAGCUCAUGGCAACACCGGAUCCUUAACCCACUGAGCGAGGCCAGAGAUUGAACCCGCAACCUCAUGGCUCCUGGUCGGAUUCGUUAACCACUGAGCCACGACGGGAACUCCCCCAGAGCCUCUUAUAUCAGGUGCUAAUCCCAUUGAUGCAUGCACCACCCUCGUGACUUAAGAACUUCCCAAAGGCCUUAUCUCUUAAUACCAUCAUCUUUGGGGGUUCGGAUUUCACAUAUGGACCUAAACAUUCAGACCAUAGAAGGCAAAUAAUUGUGAUAGAGAGACCUUGGAAGAGACAUUAAUACCAUCCCUAACUUCAGGUUUCUCCAAGUAUAGCGAAAGAGAUCUGGGGGUCUGGGUAGGCAUGGUGUGCGUGACAAAGGACAUGUAUUUCAGUACAGCUGGAGAAGGCACACAUGGGGUGGAUGAUGAGAGGAGCAGGGGCCAGAGCACCGAGGACAUUUUAUGCAAGUCGUUCCUGAGUCAGGCUACUCAUGAAAAUCUCCUGGGGAGAUUUAAAAAGAAAUACCUCUGCCAAGUCCUAUAUCAGAAUGAUUUAUUUUCAAUAAUUUAUGCCUUAGAGUGAAUUAAUUCCGUUAGAUCGCUUCCCUUCUCAACUCCAGUUGAGACCACUGAAUAAAUAGAAGUUUCGUUUUGGGGAGUUGAUUGACCUUGGAGCUUGGAUUAAUUAGUAAUUAAGUAACUAUUUGUGUGCUAUUUUUCUAGGCAGUGUGUUAGCAUGAAGAGAUAAGCAAGUCCUUGCCCCAUACUUUGAAGAGCUCACCCACCAGUAGAGGAUAUUUGCAAAUAGCUAUUUUGCAGCCCUGCUCCAAAAAGUCCUCCAGGCAGAGAGAACCUUGGUUCUUUUCAGCACAUGGUUUCUUAUGCUCACACUUUCAGCUCUUAGAGUGGCCCUUGGAUACCAGCCAACACUCUUAGGUCUAGAAGAUCUGUGUUCUUGUAAGUUGUGGAUAGAGUGAGAGGAUAGAGAGUCUUUCCACAGGUGGAGCACAGAGGCAGAUACAGAAAGCCACGUUCUGAAGGGGUGAUAAGACCAAGCCAAGGAACUUGAUAGAGUUUGACAGCCAAGAUUGGCAUCAAAGAGAAUGUAAGAGUGUGGAGAAUUAGGGUACAACUAAUUAUGAGAACAACUGGAACUGGUAGGCCAGAGGGGAAUUGGAGAUACUCUGGAAGGGUUGUUUUUUUAUGGUUUCUCCUAAGAGCUGACAUGGUCUUGGCAGGUGCAUUUGAAGGGCUGAAAUAGAAAGGAUACUAACUGCCAUAUCUAUUAGAGCAUCUCUUUGGGAAAACACAUUCUGUAUUAGGAAAGGAAAUAAGGUGGAAACCAAAGACACUUAGAUUCAUAUAAAAAUAGUGGCAUUAUUGAUGCUUUUCCUUUGCUUCAUCAAGUAAAUGGAAUGACAAAGUAGAGACGUGAUAUAAUUACCUGAUUUUUCUGCUUAUAGGCAAGGAAAGGAGAACUCAUUAUUUCAAUUACCAUUGGAAAUAUUUCAAGAAUAUGUUAAUCUACUUUCCUGCCCUGGUAAUAGAGUGUAGUGGAUAUAAUGGAAUUUUGUUUCCCUGAACCUCGGUGGCCUCAUAUUUUGACGUUUUAAUCACAUAUCUCCUUGUGUUAUUGAAUAAUUAUGUCACAUAUGAAUCCUGCUGUCCUUCUAUGGUCUGAAUGUUUCUAUUCCCCACAGAUUUAUAUAUUGAAAUCUUAACCUCCGAGGUAAUGGCAUUAGGAGGUGGGGACUUUGGGAACUGAUUCGGUCACAAGGACAGAGCCCUCAUGAUUGGAAUUGUGUCAUCCUGUGAAGGCACAGCAAACCAGUACCAUCUGUGCACCAAAAAGCGGGUCUGUGAUCUUAGACUUCCCCAUCUCCACACCUGUAAUUAAUGUUUGCUAUCUAUCAGCCAUCCGGUUUAAGGAGGUCUUUCUUACAGCAGCCUGAAUGGACCAUGACACUUUCCAAAGAGUCUGAAUUCCUUGGGAAGCAGAACAUUUUUCCUAAAUCUUCACCUUCCCUGUAAGACCUAGCCCCUUGGCUUGGGCACUAGCAGUGACCCAUGAAGAUCCGUGAAUAGAACUGAAAUGAUCAAGGAACACUUGUCCUUUGGCAGUUGCUAUGGUUUGAAUGUUUAUAUUCCCCCAGAAUUCAUGUUGAAACCCCAGCCCUCAAAGGUGAUGCUGUUAGUAGGUGACUAGGCCAUGAGGACUGAGUCCUCAAGAAGGGGAUCAGUGCUCUUAUAAAAGAGAUUUACAGGGCUCCCCGGUCCUUUCCACCACGUGAGGGCACUGAAAGUCUGCAGCCCAGAAGAGGGCCCUCACUUGACCAUGUUGGUACCAUGGUCCUGGACUUUCAGCUUCCAAAACUGUGAGAAACAAAUUUCUCUUUAUAAGCCACCCAGUCUGUGGUGUUUUGUUAUAGCAGUCUAAACAGACUGACAGCUCUCUCAGUUUCCUGAUGAAUGAGAUGCUAUGAAUGCUUCCUUAAUAAGGGAUGCUGAUCAAUAUAAGAGGGUGGAGCUAAGGCACUAAGAAUAGAAAUUUGAGGGUUCUCUGGUGGCCUAUGGGUAAAGGAUCUGGUGUUGUUAUUGCUGUGGCUUGGGUUACUGCUGUGGUGUGGGCUCGACCCCUGGCCUGAGAUCUUUCGCAUGUACUUGGCACUGCCAAAAAACAAAAUAACAGAAAUUGCAACACGUAGAAAGUAGCAGUUCCUUGUCAAGACAUUAGAAGACUCUCUUAAAAGUAAAAUGUAUUAGCUGAUUAAAUAUGGGUUUUCUCCCACU
rnacentral:lncRNA from 1 species